UUUAUAGGACUCGGUGAAGCCGGAUUCUGCAUUUUCCUACUUGUAGACUCGUUUUGUGGAAUAGAAUUGAUCGCUGUCUCCUCCGCAAAGCGUUUUAACUCGAAUAAGCAAAUGCCGCCUCUGUUUGAACGUUUUGGUAUUUACAAGAAAGAAAUCAUUUUACCUAAGAGAACUAAUUGAAUUGGCAGCAUCCUUGAAAUACCUCCGGACAAGGAUCUAGGGGUGGGGGUGGAAAAUCAACUGCGAAAUAGCAGACGGAGAAAUUCCUUUGGAAGUUAUUCCGUAGCAUAAGAGCUGAAACUUCAGAGCAAGUUUUCAUUGGGCAAAAUGGGGGAACAACCUAUCUUCAGCACUCGAGCUCAUGUCUUCCAGAUUGACCCAAACACAAAGAAGAACUGGGUACCCACCAGCAAGCAUGCAGUUACUGUGUCUUAUUUCUAUGACAGCACAAGAAAUGUGUAUAGGAUAAUCAGUUUAGAUGGCUCAAAGGCAAUAAUAAAUAGUACCAUCACCCCAAACAUGACAUUUACUAAAACAUCUCAGAAGUUUGGCCAGUGGGCUGAUAGCCGGGCAAACACCGUUUAUGGAUUGGGAUUCUCCUCUGAGCAUCAUCUUUCGAAAUUUGCAGAGAAGUUUCAGGAAUUUAAAGAAGCUGCUCGACUAGCAAAGGAAAAAUCACAAGAGAAGAUGGAACUUACCAGUACACCUUCACAGGAAUCCGCAGGUGGGGAUCUUCAGUCUCCUUUAACACCAGAAAGUAUCAACGGGACAGACGAUGAAAGAACACCUGAUGUGACACAGAACUCAGAGCCAAGGGCUGAACCAACUCAGAAUGCAUUGCCAUUUUCACAUAGUUCAGCAAUCAGCAAACAUUGGGAGGCUGAACUGGCUACCCUCAAAGGAAAUAAUGCCAAACUCACUGCAGCCCUGCUGGAGUCCACUGCCAAUGUGAAACAAUGGAAACAGCAACUCGCUGCCUAUCAAGAGGAAGCAGAACGUCUGCACAAGCGGGUGACUGAACUUGAAUGUGUUAGUAGCCAAGCAAACGCAGUACAUACUCAUAAGACAGAAUUAAAUCAGACAAUACAAGAACUGGAAGAGACACUGAAAGUGAAGGAAGAGGAAAUAGAAAGAUUAAAACAAGAAAUUGAUAAUGCCAGAGAACUACAAGAACAGAGGGACUCUUUGACUCAGAAACUACAGGAAGUAGAAAUUCGGAACAAAGACCUGGAGGGACAACUGUCUGACUUAGAGCAACGUCUGGAGAAAAGUCAGAAUGAACAAGAAGCUUUUCGCAAUAACCUGAAGACACUCUUAGAAAUUCUGGAUGGAAAAAUAUUUGAACUAACAGAAUUACGAGAUAACUUGGCCAAGCUACUAGAAUGCAGCUAAGCAAUCCAGGUAAGAGACACAGAAAACUGUAAAUGAUGCAAAAACAGCUGAACUGAAUAUGAGAGAUGAUCAAGAGCAGGUAUGACAAAAGAGCUACUGUGUUAGAUAUGAGGACACACGUUCACCUGGGUGGAUAUGGGACCAAAGGCAAGAUGGACAUCUCAGUGGAUGCUGGUAGAGAAAGGAGCCAGUGACCAGGGCCAGAGGGAGCCCACUGAGCAAAUGCCAGCACAAAUCAGGUGCUGGGAUCUAUUUUUGUCAUCAUCAGCCAGGAAGAUACAAGGCCUCUUCCAAGAUGAAGACGAAACUAUUGACAGAUAUUUUGUCAAGACCAAAUUUUCCCUAAGAGCCCUGUCAUAGAUUGCUCCCUGGGCAGGAUGCAGCCUCCUUCAGAGAGUGAAGAACACACCAAAAGAUCCUCUACUAAAUUAAUCAUGAAGCUGCAUGAGCCAGGCUGGAAUACAGUUACCAAUCUGCUUUAAUUCUCCCACUUAGAUGGCCCGAAGCCACCUGAACUGAAAGUUGGAUGAAGCUCUGCUUUGAGUUCCAUCAUGGAGCAUCGUGUGGCCUAGGUCCUUAGCCAAUGCCUGCUAAAUAUUAGCUUGAGUCGCAAUAAAGAGAAAAGGUCCAAACUCUC